rnacentral:rRNA from 1 species
AGUACGUUCGCAAGAAUGAAACUCAAAGGAAUUGACGGGGGCCCGCACAAGCGGUGGAGCAUGUGGUUUAAUUCGAUGAUACGCGAGGAACCUUACCAGGGCUUAAAUGUAGUCUGACAGGUCUGGAAACAGACUUUUCUUCGGACAGAUUACAAGGUGCUGCAUGGUUGUCGUCAGCUCGUGCCGUGAGGUGUCAGGUUAAGUCCUAUAACGAGCGCAACCCCUGUGGUUAGUUGCCAGCGAGUAAUGUCGGGAACUCUAGCCAGACUGCCGGUGCAAACCGCGAGGAAGGUGGGGAUGACGUCAAAUCAUCACGGCCCUUACGUCCUGGGCCACACACGUGCUACAAUGGUAGGGACAGAGAGCAGCCACUUCGCGAGAAGGAGCGAAUCUACAAACCCUAUCACAGUUCGGAUCGCAGUCUGCAACUCGACUGCGUGAAGCUGGAAUCGCUAGUAAUCGCAUAUCAGCCAUGAUGCGGUAAAUACGUUCCCGGGCCUUGUACACACCGCCCGUCAAGCUAUGGAAGCCGGGGGUACCUGAAGUCGGUCACCGCAAGGAGCCGCCUAGGGUAAAACUGGUAACUGGGGCUAAGUCGUAACAAGGUAACCGUA